rnacentral:rRNA from 1 species
GAUGAACGCUGACAGAAUGCUUAACACAUGCAAGUCUACUUGAACUUCGGUUUGGGUGGCGGACGGGUGAGUAACGCGUAAAGAACUUGCCUCACAGUUAGGGACAACAUUUGGAAACGAAUGCUAAUACCUGAUAUUAUGAUUCUAGGGCAUCCUAGGAUUAUGAAAGCUAUAUGUGCUGUGAGAGAGCUUUGCGUCCCAUUAGCUAGUUGGAGAGGUAACGGCUCACCAAGGCGAGGAUGGGUAGCCGGCCUGAGAGGGUGAACGGCCACAAGGGGACUGAGACACGGCCCUUACUCCUACGGGAGGCAGCAGUGGGGAAUAUUGGACAAUGGACCAAAAGUCUGAUGCAGCAAUUCUGUGUGCACGAUGACGUUUUUCGGAAUGUAAAGUGCUUUCAGUUGGGAAGAAAAAAAUGACGGUACCAACAGAAGAAGUGACGGCUAAAUACGUG